UUAAUUGAAACCAAACAGAGGUAUAUUAUUGUUAAUAAUAUUAAUGAAUUUUUUUCCAAUUAAA
rnacentral:tRNA from 1 species